AAGCUUGUAUCGUCUUGGCCGAGACAGAAGGGCCCCCCAGGACCGGUUGGACCCCUUGGAGAUCCAGGGCCCCUGGGACCACCUGGGAUUCCUGGGAAGCAGGGAAGAAAAGGAGACACUGGAAAAAU